AAGGUCUGGAUAUGAGGUAUUCUGCAAUCUGAUUGGUCCCCUACUAGCAGGAUAUUAGCUCAUAUCCUGCUAGUAGAGAAAAACAAAAUGGCGGCCAAACUGAAUUUACCAUGUUUUGCAAACGAGAAAACGGCAAGUUGUCGCUUUUUAUAGCCUUCACAGGAUUAAAAACACAAUGAAAAACUCCCACAAAUUGUUUUCAGGUUAGCAAAUAAAUUUUUA